GCACUGCUGGGGAGUCUCAUAAUAGGACGAAACGGCCGUCUAGUGC
rfam:Schistosoma mansoni strain Puerto Rico chromosome 6, complete genome